GCAUUCUCUAUUCUGCCCAAUCUCGGCUCAUCCACCCAUCCCCUACAAAAAAGGGACGCGAACCGCCGGCCGGCGGCGGUGGAGCCGAUCUGGCGCGGUGGCCACCGACGCCGGCCACCCCCAGUGCAUCUGACGCCUCCCCUCAGCCCCAGCCACCACAGAAACCACGCCCCCCUCCUCUUCGUCGUCUUCUCCGUUCCCUUCGCAGUCUCCUCCGACACAGGCCUCGGCAAGGAUGCCGCCGAUGUCGUUCGGCCACCAACGCCUCUCCUACUCCCUCCUCAACUGCAGCAGAGUUCCACUGCUCACUAUCUCCACCACCUCCUCCCUCCUCCUCGACAUCCCCUCUGCCCCCCUUCCCCCAUCUCCUUCAGCUACCUGCGCAAGUCGUCGCCGGCGCCGUUCAUGCCCCAACGUCUCUCCUAUCUCCCCCCUUUCCUUCUGCAGCAGGCUCACUGGCCACCGCCCACCACCACCACAUUCCGCUCCUCAUCCCAGCCCCUUCCGACGCCGACUUCCAGAAGUAUGCCGCCGCCGCCGCCUACGACCUGCUCAAUUCUGAGACAACGAUGCCACCUACUGCUAUUUCCCCUUCCCCGCUGACGCACUCCACCACAUGUUUUGGUGUGAUUGUUGAUGUGGAGGUGCUACUGCCUUUCCUUGCCAAAACUUAUCCUGCCCAGCCCCGGCGCAGUGGCGCCUCCCGAAUUCAAAAUUUUCUGACACCAAGUCCCCGCGCCUUUAUGGAACUGUCCAGAAACCACACUUGUAGCCCAAUAAAAACCAGGUGGGUAUGCAGAUAGGACUCAUACUGCUCGAACUAACCCCAAGAAGCCAUACACUGGACACACUCUCACAUCUUGAGAUCAAACACAGUGUGAGGAGGUAGGAUUUGCUACCCUUCUCCUGAUCUGCUCGUCAAGGACCAAGGUGAGAAGAUGAAGUACUGAUUGUCUGAUGUUCUUUUACGUGAGAAGAUAGAUGAAGCGAGCAGUGGCGGAGACAGGGGGGACCAGCAGGGGCCCUGCCCCCCCCCCCCCCCCUAAUGUCACUGGUUUAGGCCUAAUACUAGUGUAAACACUGACUUUUUUGCUGUUAAAACAAUGCAUUUUAAUGAUCUGGCCCUCCCAAACAAGGUUUAGCAACGUUUGGCCCUCCCAAUUUGAUUUUCCUGGCUCCGCCACUGGAAGCGAGAGCUCAGCUGUUCCAAGGAAAGCAGCAGUUCUGUUGCAGUAGUUGCUGAAAGGCCAUACAUGAUAAUAUGUACUGGAGAUCGAUGGUCGUGCCAGUGAUUUGGGAGAUUUGGCGUGUGUGCAGUCGACGCAUUUUUCACAAAUUGGAGUUUCGGCUUGCCGUUGACGAAACCAAUGUUGCAAGGAUACCGACGCACAAUACAUUAUUUUGCAAUAGUAAUCUAGCUUAGUGGUCCUUGCCAUUCUGUGUUUUCUCCUCUGCUUUUCCUAUGUUUUGUACAUUAUAAACUCAUGUCAAUAAAAUCAACAGCUGUGUUAUGGUGUUA